rnacentral:lncRNA from 1 species
AAGCUGACUUGGUAAAGCCAGUGGGAGGAUCAUGAUAAGCUGGUUCAUCUGACCUCCUCCUCUAAAUCAAUUAAAUCCUCUAAAAUUAUUAGGUCCUUAAAAUGAAAUAGUUAUGGUGAUAACUAGAUCAUAGCCUCCCAUUAAGUUGAUGAUAAUGGGUCCAUCAGUUGGAUAAUCAUUGGAGGCCCAAAGGCCUGGUGCUUAUCGGCUGACGGAAUUGUCAU